rnacentral:rRNA from 1 species
GACGAACGCUGGCGGCGUGCCUAAUACAUGCAAGUCGAACGAAGCUGUUUUAACUGGUGCUUGCACCGACUUAAACAACUGAGUGGCGAACGGGUGAGUAACACGUGGGUAACCUGCCCCAAAGCGGGGGAUAACAUUUGGAAACAGAUGCUAAUACCGCAUAACCACAGAAACCACAUGGUUUCUGUGUCAAAGAUGGUUUCGGCUUUCACUUUGGGAUGGACCCGCGGCGUAUUAGCUAGUUGGUAAGGUAAUGGCUUACCAAGGCAAUGAAACGUAGCCGAACUGAGAGGUUGAUCGGGCACAUUGGGACUGAGACACGGCCCAAACUCCUGCGGGAGGCAGCAGUAGGGAAUCUUCCACAAUGGACGAAAGUCUGAUGGAGCAACGCCGCGUGAGUGAAGAAGGUUUUCGGAUCGUAAAACUCUGUUGUCAGGGAAGAACGUGUGCGAGAGUAACUGCUCGUGCAGUGACGGUAUCUGGCCAGAAAGCCACGGCUAACUACGUGCCAGCCGCCGCCGUAA